AAGUCGUAACAAGGUUUCCGUAGGUGAACCUGCGGAAGGACCAUUAACACGUAUCCAACGUUAACAACCCGUGAACUUCAGACUUUCAGCUUGCUCCUGUAGCCCGUGACAGCAGCAAUCCUGGUAAAUCAUUGUUGACCAGCUUUUGAGUCAGCGACCUCUGCCGAUAGUGAUAUUUUAUAGUUACGGUUGAGCGAUUGCAUCUAGUGACCUGGCAUCCCCAAGCACGCCGGCGACCAGGUCACCGGGCUCUGCCCCUUUACGACAACUACAGUCUAACUUCGCCGCACGUGAAAUUCGCACGGCACCAAAAACCGAACAACUGUUAACAAUGGAUCUUGGUUC
rnacentral:misc_RNA from 1 species